AGUUGGAUGACGAGUCCCAAAUAGGACGAAAUGAGCAUCCUGCAU
rfam:Trichobilharzia regenti genome assembly, scaffold: TRE_scaffold0075989